UAGGGCUGCUCCUGUCCUCAGGACCCCUUGAGGGACUACACUGUUGUGCAGGUUUCCUACAUAGGAUUCUUGCUAAAACAGAAAUUGUCGUUCCUGUGUCAGAGUGAGCCUGAGAUUCUGUAUUUGGAGUAGGCAGUCAGGGGAUGCCAGUGCUCAUGGGUCCUGUUUGCUAUUUCCAGGAGCAAUUCUCAGUAUUGUUCUUUGGAUGUAAUUAUUGUAGAUGUGGGGUCUGUAUUUAAAGGCCUCUUCUGGAGAUCGUCUUCAUUUUUCUUCCUAAUUUCUUUCAUCACAUAACUCAAACACACUGACUGGCAACAUAGAUGGAAACAGAGAGGUAGUUCCUAAAUUACCCUUUCGUGAAUGGCUCAUUUUGAGGACUCUUUGCUUCUCUAGGGACAGAUUAAAUGGUCUGCAGGUAGCCAUGGGAUGACAUCACAAUGGGUUUGGUAGUGGGAAGAACUGAAAUCACAGUAAAGUAAGCAAACAUCAAUAGAUUUGUAGUAUCAUGUCAUUCUGUUGAGAAUCAUUUGGUACCUACUCUAGCUUGGGAAUGAUCCUUGAUCUCAGCUGUCCGAGUAAUUCUGGGGAGCAGUGCCCCUUUCUCUUCCAGUGUCUAGGGAACAGUGUCCUGCAUGUGGGAAUGGCAACAUCUCCACAGAGGCUGUGCUGUGAUUGGUGGUGGUUUCUAACAUAUUGGCUGCAAAUACGCAGCCAUUGUAUGGCAGGAAAGAGUUCCUGGAGAGAGAAGACAAAGACGGUGUGUGUUGCAAAAGGAAGCCCCAGGCUCAAGACUGGAGAACUGAAUGUGCAACUUGCAAGGGUACUGGAGACAAUGAAAAUCAUGUGA
rnacentral:lncRNA from 1 species